rnacentral:tmRNA from 1 species
UUUAUUGAAUCUCCAUCAAAUGCUUUUAUAGUAAUAGUGUUGGCUUGCCAACUACGACGAUAAACGAAUUUCGUAAUAACCAUUACGGACGUGGGGGCAGUACCCACCACCUCCACCAUUUACAACUUAAGGGGGUGAAAUAGGAUCGACGGG